rnacentral:rRNA from 1 species
AGCAGCCACCUUUUGAAACGCGUCAAAGCGUAACUUUAACACCCAAAAUACCAUUAAUUUUUAUGAACCCCUAAUUUAUAAUGAAUGACUCCAUAUUUAUAUGGAAGACACCAUGCUAGGAUUAGUAACAAGAAUUUAUAAUUCUCCAAAAUGCAAAUAUAAACCAACAUGGAUAGACCAUUGGUAGUUACCGAACCUAAAUUUAAUGCAAUAACAUCCACAAGAAAACUCUGCAGCACUCACUCGUUAACCUAACACCAGCGCAUUACAGGAAAGAUUCAAAAAAAGAGAAGGAAUUCGGCAAAUGACGACCCCGCCUGUUUACCAAAAACAUCGCCUCUUGACUUAUAAUAAGAGGUCUAGCCUGCCCAGUGAAUUUUAAACGGCCGCGGUAUCCUAACCGCGCGAAGGUAGCAUAAUCACUUGUUCUUUAAAUGGGGACUCGUAUCAACGGCAUCACGAGGGUCUUACUGUCUCCUCUUUUUGAUCAGUGAAAUUGAUCUUCCCGUGAAGAAGCGGGAAUAUUUUUAUAAGACGAGAAGACCCCAUGGAGCUUUAAACCAAAUAACAACUUAACCACUUAUCCCAUAAUAAAUUUAACCCCUGUUAUAAGGUUUUUGGUUGGGGUGACCGCGGAGUAAAGCACAUCCUCCACGACGGAAAGAAUAAAAUCUUUAUUUAAGAACCACACUUCUAGAAAUUAGUAUACUAACGUUUACUGACCCGACAAUCGAUCAACGGACCAAGUUACCCUGGGGAUAACAGCGCAAUCUACUUCGAGAGCUCAUAUCGACAAGUAGGCUUACGACCUCGAUGUUGGAUCAGGGUAUCCCGGUGGUGCAGCCGCUACCGAAGGUUCGUUUGUUCAACGAUUAAAACCCUACGUGAUCUG